rnacentral:lncRNA from 1 species
UUUUUUUUGGUCAAACCAGUGGGGGCGCGCUGAGUGCACCCACUGGGUGUAGUCCCCGAGACUACUGUCGAAUGUUUUUGAUUCGGCUGUGGUCUUAGAAACGUCAUCAUUGUCUCUUAGUUACUCGGAAGCAACUUAUCUUGGACGUCUGUCGACUGAUUUUCCUUUUUACAGAAAUCUUGCGAACUUGUAGCUCGCUAUACUGAGUUGGAGAAUCAGCAGAUCCAGCUCAACCUUAACUUGAAGCUUGCUCAGGAGAAUUUGAGGAAGGCGCAAGAAGAAGCGAAAGGUAUGGCUGGUGAGGUUCUCUAUUCUUAACGGGUGGCUUUUCUUUCUUGUCCAUUCUUGAUGUUGGUUCCACUCGACGCGCCUUAGAUAAACUGGAGGAAGCUCUGAAGAAGAAGGACCAAGACCUUGCAGAGGCACAGAAGGAGGCCUCAAGCAAAACAAAGCUUGCAGAGGAGAAAUUGGCUUCGGUCGCAGCUCUUGAACAGGAGAACUCCAGACUGAAAACCGCUCUCGAGAUAGCUAAUCGAGAUGCCAGUCGACUGAAGAAGGAGAAGAUGGCUCUGCACGACAAGGCGGGUGAGCUGGUGGGGAAGGUAAAAGAUCUGGAAGCUUAUCUCGGUGGACUUGCCAAGAAGUUCUUCGUCAUGCUCGAAGGUAAUUACUCUGCCCCGACUGUCUUGCAGUUUGCCAAGCCUGCGUAGGGCCACUAUCUUACUCUUGAAUCGUGUUUGCAGAAUUCUGUCAGAACUUUGAAGAGGAGACCAGUCGAGUGGAGCCAAGCUUGGACCCUGUUAACUCUCUUGUGAAGGACAAGGCUGCCAUGAACGUGCUCCGACUGGAGUCUCGUGUUGCCAGCGUCGUUGAUUACCUGGCUCGGCUGAAAGUUUCAAUGUCGCGGAUCGACACAUCACUCUGGCCUGGGACAACGCUUCAGAACGACCUCGAGUCUCUGAUGGCUCGACUUAACGAAGUCCAAGGUCGAGUGGCGGAAUGGAAGAAAUCUUCUGCUAGAUGUGGUGCUGAUGUCGCUCUGUCUCUGGUCCGCGUCCAUUGCAAGGAGGCGCGAGAAGAAAAGCUAGCGGCUAUCCAAGUUGCAAAUACCAGGAAGCACAGCUUUCAAGACUUCAUGGAGACUUUCAUCGCCGCUGCCACCCGUAUCGCCGACGGGAUCGACUUGGAUGAGUUCGUCGCCCCUUCCAGUCCUCCUCCCGAGGAGUGAAAAACUUUGAAUUUACCUCGGGAUGCCGAGUGGAUUUGUAACCGUUUAAACUCCGCCGAGCUGAGGGCUCGAGUACUUUGAGGUCUGGGACCUUUUGGGCUUUUUCUGAACUUGAUUUCUCGUUGGAUAUCUUCACGGUUUGAUUCGUCGAGUGGAACUUGAUCUUCACUCGGAAUAAUCUUGUAUUUGCGACGCAGCUCUGAGGGAGAAGGUAGCGGUCGACUCGUGGAUUGGGUCGAGUCUUGUACUUAGGCGAGCACUGGGCUGUAGCUAAGCCUCCGAGUGAGAGGUUUACUCUCCACUCGGUAGGAUUUUUAAACACUUAGGCGAGCACUAGGCUGCAGCUAAGCCCCCGAGUGGGAGGUUUGCUCUCCACUUGGUAGGCUUUUUCAAAACUUAGGCGAGUGCUGGACUACAGCUAAGCCUCCGAGUGGGAGGAUCGCUCUCCACUCGGUAGGAUUUGAACACUUAGGCGAGCACUGGGCUGCAGCUAAGCCUCCGAGUGGGAGGUUUGCUCUCCACUCGGUAGGAUUUUUUAAAACUUAGGCGAGUGCCGGACUGCAGCUAAGUCUCUAGGUGAGAGAACUUAGGUGAGUGCUGGACUGCAGCUAAGCCCCCGAGUGGGAGGAUCGCUCUCCACUCNNNNNNNNNNNNNNNNNNNNNNNNNNNNNNNNNNNNNNNNNNNNNNNNNNNNNNNNNNNNNNNNNNNNNNNNNNNNNNNNNNNNNNNNNNNNNNNNNNNNNNNNNNNNNNNNNNNNNNNNNNNNNNNNNNNNNNNNNNNNNNNNNNNNNNNNNNNNNNNNNNNNNNNNNNNNNNNNNNNNNNNNNNNNNNNNNNNNNNNNNNNNNNNNNNNNNNNNNNNNNNNNNNNNNNNNNNNNNNNNNNNNNNNNNNNNNNNNNNNNNNNNNNNNNNNNNNNNNNNNNNNNNNNNNNNNNNNNNNNNNNNNNNNNNNNNNNNNNNNNNNNNNNNNNNNNNNNNNNNNNNNNNNNNNNNNNNNNNNNNNNNNNNNCACUCGGUGGGAUUUUUUCAAACUUAGGCGAGUGCCGGACCGCAGCUAAGUCUCUAAGUGAGAGAACUUAGGCGAGUGCUGGACUGCAGCUAAGCCCCUGAGUGGGAGGAUCGCUCUCCACUCGAUAGGAUUUUUUUUUAAAACUUAGGCGAGUGCCGGACUGCAGCUAAGUCUCUAGGUGAGAGAACUUAGACGAGUGCUGGACUGCAGCUAAGCCCCCGAGUGGGAGGAUCGCUCUCCACUCGGUAGGAUUUUUUCAAACUUAGGCGAAACGGAUUCGCAGCUAAGUCACCCACUGGGGGAUUCUGUAUGUAAACAAAAGUGACAACAAUUGAUGGAACACUCUUGCCUUUGAUAAAAACAAACUGCAGGAAUUUUUCUUAUUACAUCUCGUCCAAGGGAGAGCUCAAGUGUAAAAGGGGCGGAGUAGUUCCGCAUUCCAAGCUCGAGGCUCGUCGAUCUGGCGAUCAACAUUGUAGAGGUGAUACGCUCCAUUGUGGAGGACUCUGGUGAUGAUGAAGGGGCCUUCCCAAGUUGGAGAAAGCUUGUGUGGUUUCUAUUGAUCCACUCAGAGGACCAAAUCUCCUUCUUGGAAGGCUCGACUCUUCACAUUCCGGGCGUGGAAUCGACGCAAGUCUUGCUGAUAAAUGGUCGAUCUGAUCAUGGCCACCUCCCUCUCUUCUUCUAGGAGGUCGACUGCUUCUUGCCGGGCCUGUUCUGCUUCAUCUUCGGUGUAAAGCUCGACUCGGGGCGCGUUGUGAAGAAGAUCACUUGGCAGAACCGCUUCGGCUCCAUAAACCAGAAAGAAUGGAGUUCUUCCAGUCAACCGGUUAGGGGUGGUCCUCAAUCCCCAUAGAACUGACGGAAGCUCGUCGACCCAAGCACCUGCCGCGUGCUUGAGAUCACGCAUCAGCCGAGGCUUCAGUCCUUUGAGAAUCAAACCAUUUGCUCUUUCAGCUUGUCCAUUCGAUUGAGGAUGCGCGACCGACGCGUAGUCGACUCGUGUGCCUUGAGAGGCGCAAAAAGCUCUGAACUGGUCCGAAUCGAUGUUUGACCCAUUGUCAGUGAUGAUGCUAUGAGGGACUCCAUAUCUGAAUGUUAGUCCUCUGACGAAACUGAUAGCAGUGCCAGCAUCGAGGUUCUUGAUAGGCUUGGCUUCAAUCCAUUUGGUGAACUUGUCGACUGCCACAAGCACAUGCAUGAAUCCGCUCCUGCCUGUUCUUAGUGGACCAACCAUGUCCAGUCCCCAGACAGCAAAGGGCCAGACGACUGGAAUGGUCUUCAGGGCUGAUGCAGGCUUGUGUGACAUGUUGGAGUAGAACUGGCAGCCUCCACAUUUGUCGACUAUCUCUUUUGCCAUCUCAUUUGCUCUAGGCCAGUAAAAUCCCGCUCGGUAUGCUUUAGCCACAAUGGCCCGAGAGGACGCAUGGUGGCCACAGGUCCCCGAGUGGAUAUCAUCGAGGAUUAUCCGACCUUCUUCUGGUGUUAUGCACUUCUGACCGAUUCCAGUCGCGCUUUCUCUAUACAACUGCCCCUUUAUGACUGUGAAGGCCUUAGAUCGGCGGACGAUCUGUCGAGCCUCUUCCUCGUCUUCUGGGAGCUCCUUCCUUAGGAUAUACGCGAUGUACGGUAUCGUCCAGUCGGGAGUGAUUGCCAAGACUUCCAUGAUUAGGUCGACCACAGCAGGAACUUCGACUUCAGUCGGAUCUGUGGCACUUUUCGGUUGUGGGGCUUCUUCUGUGAAAGGAUCCUCCUGGACUGACGGCGAGCGGAUGUGCUCCAGAAACACAUUGCUGGGAAUGGCUUCUCUCUUGGAGCCUAUUUUUGCCAGAUCAUCAGCUGCUUGAUUUUUCAGUCGGGGGAUGUGAUGAAGCUCUAACCCCUCGAAUUUCUUUUCUAGCUUUCUCACUGCAUUGCAAUAACCAGUCAUAGCUGGACUUCUGACGUCCCACUCCUUCAUCACCUGAUUAACCACCAAAUCUGAGUCGCCGUAGACCAUGAGGCGACGGACACCGAGUGAAAUGGCCAUGCGCAACCCGUACAAAAGUGCUUCAUAUUCUGCUUCAUUGUUGGAGGAAUCGAAGUGAAUCUGGAGAACAUAUCUGAGCUUAUCUCCUCGGGGGGAGACUAGAACUACCCCAGCACCGGAACCAUUCAGCAUCUUAGAUCCAUCGAAGAACAUGGUCCAGUGCUCCGAGUGAACUUGAGUCGGAAGUUGCUGUUCAAUCCACUCGGCAAUGAAAUCUGCGAUUGCUUGGGACUUGAUAGCCUUCUUUGCUUCAAACUUGAUAUCUAAGGGAAGGAGUUCAAUCGCCCACUUGGCCACUCGACCAGUUGCAUCUCUGUUAUGCAGAAUCUCUGACAGUGGGGCGUCGCUGACGACUGUAAUGGAGUGGUCAGAGAAGUAAUGUGCAACCUUCUUGGUGGUCAUAUAAAUCCCAUAUACAAGCUUCUGGUAGUGAGGGUAUCUUUGUUUUGAAGGUGUCAAAACUUCAGACACAUAAUAGACUGGGCGCUGAACUCUGAAGGCCUUUCCUUCUUCUUCCCGCUCGACCGUAAGUACUGUGCUGACAACUUGCCCUGUGGCUGCAAUGUAAAGCAACAGAGGCUCUUUGCUGAUUGGGGCAGCAAGCACCGGCUGGGUGGAGAGCAGAGCUUUGAGCUCUGCAAAUGCUGCAUCAGCUUCCGGAGUCCACUCAAACUUGUCAGACUUCUUCAUCAGUCGGUAAAGGGGCAACGCCUUUUCACCGAGGCGAGAAAUGAAUCGACUUAGGGCGGCCAACCAGCCUGUAAACUUUUGGACGUCGUGCAUGCGAACGGGACGCUUCAUCCGGAGUAUGGUGCCAACUUUUCAGGAUUGGCGUCGAUCCCCCGUUCAGAAACGAGAAAACCGAGUAACUUUCCACCUGGAACUCCGAAUGUGCACUUUGAUGGAUUGAGCUUGAUAUCAUACCUCCUGAGGUUGGCAAAGGUUUCGGCAAGGUCAGCUCGCAGGUCGGAACCUUUGCGUGACUUGACCACAAUGUCAUCCAUGUAUGCUUCCACAUUCCGACUGAUUUGAGUGAGUAAACACUUCUGAAUCAUUCUCAUGAACGUGGCUCCGGCGUUCUUGAGGCCGAACGGCAUGGUGACAUAAUAGAAGCAUCCGAAUGGGGUGAUGAAAGCUGUUUUGAUUUCGUCGGGUCCAUACAGACGGAUCUGAUGGUACCCGGAAUAAGCAUCUAGAAAAGACAAUCUCUCGCACCCCGCAGUCGAGUCGACUAUUUGGUUGAUGCGAGGGAGAGGAAAAUGAUCUUUGGGGCAGGCCCGAUUGAUAUGUUUGAAAUCAACGCACAUGCGAAGUGACUUGUCCUUCUUGGGGACCAUGACGACAUUGGCGAGCCACUCGGAGUGGUAAAUCUCUCGGAUGAACUCCGUUGCUAAGAGCCGAGCCACCUCCUCGCCAAUGGCUUUCCUCAUCUGGACGGCGGACCGUCGAAGAUGUUCUUUCACAGGCUUGAACUUCGUGUCGACUCGUAGACGGUGCUCAGCCAGCCCUCUGGGAACUCCAGGCAUGUCAGAGGGUUUCCAUGCGAAGAUGUCCCAGUUCUCACGGAGGAGCUGGAUGAGCGCUUCUUCCUAUUUGGAGUCAAGCGUCGUUGAGAUGUGAGUCGGGGCAGCAUCGGGGUCGAUCGGGUGAAUGUGGACUGUCUUUGUUUCACCGGAUGACUGAAAAGCUGAUUCUGAAGCAGGCUUCUUGGCUCGUAGCAACUCACUUGGAUCGGCAGUCUUUUGGUACUCUUGCAGCUCGACCACUGCCAUCUGAGCAUAUGCAAUCUUUGAGCCCUUCUGAAAGCACUCUUCGGCCUUCUUCCGAUUGCCUGUAACAGUGAUCACACCUUUGGGGCCAGGCAUCUUCAGUUUGAGAUACACGUAACAUGGCCGGGCCAUGAAGCGUGCGUAAGCUGGCCUGCCCAAAAUGGCGUGAUAAGCACUUUGGAAGUCCACAACCUCGAAUGUCAACUUUUCCUUGCGGUAAUUCUUUGAAUCACCGAAAACCACGUCAAGAGCGAUCUGGCCGAGUGAUUGGGCUUUCUUCCCAGGAAUGACUCCGUGGAAACUCAUGUUACUGGUGCUGAGCCUGGACAUCGGAAUGCCCAUUCCUUUCAAUGUUUCAGCAUACAGUAUGUUCGGGCCACUGCCACCAUCCAUCAGGACUUUAGUCAGUCGAGUGCCUUCAACAAUUGGGUCGACCACCAAAGCUUGCCUCCCAGGGGUGGCAAUGUGCGUCGGGUGAUCAGACUGGUCGAAUGUGAUGGUAGUCUGAGACCACUUCAGGUAACUGGGUGUUGCCGGGGCAACCAUGUUCACCUCUCGGUUAAUGACUUUCAGUCGACUUUUGCUUUCGACAUCGGCAAAAAUCAUCAGAAUGGAAUUGACUUGGGGGUAUCCAUCGUCACUGUCUUCCUUGUCCUCGACUCUGUCCGACUCUUUUUCCUUAUCCUUGAACUGCUUUCCUUGGAACUUCUGGAUCAAGAGCCAGCACUGUCGAGUGGUAUGCUUUGGGUAAGUAAAAUUACCCUCUUCAUCCUUCUUGGUGUGGAUGUGACAUGGCAGAUCCAAAACAUCAUUUCCGUCUUGAUCCUUGACUUUCUUGGGCUUCCAGGGGCCUUUGGGUUUUCCCUUGAAAUUUCCCUGGGUUGCGGCCAGGGCCUCCCCAGGGGCGGCUGGCUCGGCCUUCCGCUUCUGCUUCCGACUGGAAUUGCCUCCGGUUUCCUGGGCGACUGCUUUCUGCUUGCCACUCCAGAGUCGAUCUUCAUCUUCUCCGUUAGCGUACUUGGUGGCAAUUGCCAUCAUCCGAUUCAGAGACAUCUCUCCAGUUCGACCAAACUUUAGAUUCAACUCUCUGUAUUUGACACCUUCCUUGAAGGCACAAACCGCUUGAUGGUCUGGCACAUUCUCAACCAAGUGAUGCAGCGUGAUCCACCUCUGGAUGUAUUCCCUCAGAGUUUCAUUCGGCUUCUGCACGCAAGACCGCAACUCUGUAAGGCCUGCAGGUUGCUUGCAUGUUCCUUCAAAGGUCGUGAUAAACACUCGGGAGAGGUCCUCCCAAGUGUAAAUGCUGCUGGGUGCUAACUGAUUUAGCCACGCUCUGGCCGAGCCCUCUAACAUGAGAGGCGAAUGCUUCAUGGCCACCUCAUCAUUGCCACCGCCAAUCUGUACAGCCACUCGGUAAUCUUAGAGCCAGGUGUCAGGCUUAGAUUCACCGGUGAACUUGCUGAUUCCAGUCGCCAGCCUGAAAUUGGGAGGAAUCACUGCGGCUCUGAUGGCUCGACUGAAACACUCUGGCCCUGAAGCACGUACUCCGCUGCUGGCAGGCGCAUCUCUGUUGUGGCCUCCUCGAUGAGCUCUGUUCCUGUCAACCAAACCUUGAACAAGGAUGGAUCUCGCAUCAAAGCCUGGGUCUCUGGGGUCGACUGGAAUCCUCUGCCCAACACUAUGAGGGCGUCUGUCAUCUUGCCGUCGAGGCGCAUAUGACCCACUCAUCGGGGGAGGGGUUGGCACUCGACGUCGAUCAUCACGGUCGAAUCGGUGAUCAUACUGCUCAUUCCUCCUGUACUGGUCACGCCGGUCACCACGUCCCUCACGCCUCGGGGGCGAUCUCGGGCUGUGAGCCGACUCGACUGUAUCUGUUGCGACAGAUCGACUGUGGAUCCUAUUCCGCGACUGAGAGACAGCGGAAUUCUAGUUUCCCGCCGCCCGGAGCAAUGCUCUGAUCUGUAACAAGCCCCUGCCAGCCUCCGACUGGGAGGGCUGAAUCGAUUCUGCUAUACGGGCCGCGGCGGCCAAAUUCUGAACUGGGGUUCGAUAUACCUGCGUCGGCGGGAAGAGCUGGCGUCGACUAGACUCGGGAGCCCGCUGACGCGCUUGCUCGUUGAGUGCUCGCUGGAGAUUCUCCAGUCGAGUGCGCUCGGCCAAGUUGGCCAAACAUGCGUCCUCCAAGGCCCGGGCCUCGGGGGUCUCUCCGACGAUAGGAGUGCGGAGCGCGUCCAUGUUUCGGCGGCGAAGCUCCUCUCGCUGUAAUGACGUGAGAGGUUCGGGGAGAUACUCAUCGUGGGGAUGUGACGGAUCGCCCCCACCCGCGCCUCCAUCAGCGCGAGGGAAACCAGGAGGACUGUGCGUUCCGUCGACCGCCAGAAUCUCAGCCGCUGGGUCGCUGCUGUCGCACUCGGAUGCAGUCUCCACGGAGCCAGUCGACAGGUCGAACAGGCCGCAGAGGGAUUCAUCGGGCUCGAUUGCCGCGACUUGUGGGGCUGCCGACUGGCGGGCCACGGCAUGCCUCACCCACCGCUGGAGUCUUGACCGACCGGAGCGCUUGCGCUGGCGGGAGACAGGGCGGGGAGACGAUGCAGGGGCCGACCGAUACUGAGUCGAUGGCUGCCGCAGGAGGACGCCAUGAAUGCAUGCGCGGAAGUGCAUCGCACCGCGGAUGGGGAGCGCGUCGAUGUCGAGUGGUGCCUCCUGAAGCCAGGCGGAGUCAUCGACGAUGAAGGUGAGCGCGCCGAGACGGAUCUCGCGGUCCUCCACCAAAACUCCGCCAGAAAACAUGAUCAAAGGGAUCGGAAAAGAUCGCAACUUCUCCAACUAAGCGCUAAGAUUCCUGCCCCACGGUGGGCGCCAACUGUCGUGGUUCUAACUCUGACAGUGAUGUAGGGGGGUGAAUAUGGAGAGGCUAGAUCUUAGCUAUUGGGAAGUUGUUACACGCGAGGUUUACGAGUUCAGGCCCUUCUUAGAGGAAGUAAUAGCCCUACGUCUCGGAGCGCGGAGGCGGUCUACUGGAUUAUGCGUGUAUGGAUACAGGGGUGCGAAGCCUUCAUACUGAGGAGGGGGGUGGCUUAUAUAGAGUUCGCCGGACCCCUCCCGCCCUCAGUAAUGCAGGGUUUAAGGUACAUUUAAGGUUGGGCGUUUCUGGUAACGUCCCUAAUAAAGUGCUAUAAUGAUCAUAAAGACUACUUAACAGCCGACCGUUUGCCUGCGGAGUGACUUUAGGUCUCCUGUCAGUCGAGUGGUUGGCUUCAUGGUCGAGUGAUAGCUUCUUGGUCGAGUGUCUUGAACCCGUCGAGUGGGAUACCUUCAAGUCGAUUGAAAGGUGACUUCUCCUAGGGGUGUCCUAGGGUAGGACUCUUUGAUCAGGUCUGUGUCCCUACCCUAGGUACGUGUCUUCAUCAGUCACCGAACAUGAUCACUGGUGACAUUUUUUUGUCUGUCACCUAAUAUGCCAACUUGCGUGACGAAAAAAGUGGUACCGUCAAAAUUUUAUUUUCUAUGACGGCGCUUCAGUGAUGGUGGGAGCGGUGACCGAAAAAUGUCGCUAGAGUAUCUAUUUUCCAUGAUGAAAGUGGGUUAUACAUGACACAAGUGAAGCGUUGCAAAAUAGAGCAAAGUUUGUAGUGGUAGUGGGGGCAAUCAAAGCUGGCGUGGGCAGGUCAAACUUGACGCUGGGACCCAUGAUGGUUAAACUUAGCCUUACCUAAUUAAACAGCUGGCUAACCAACUAACCAGGGCCCACUUGUCAGUUAUAGAAAACGUUGCAAGUUGUUAGUUGUACCAGAUUUGUUUCUAAGGGAAAAUAUUCAGGAAUAAUGAGAACAGUCAUAUAAAAUGACAGGGUAGUACUGGGAACCAGAGAAACUAUAAAUUGGCACAGUCCACAAAUCACAAUGUAUUUUGGAAAGGUGAUAUAUAAAGACAAAUAAGAAAAGGCAAUCGAGGUUGCCACCCUAAUUGACAAUCACAAACAUGUGAUGGCUGCAUUGGCUUAUCACAAGAAGGAAGACUUUUUUUUUGUCAUGGCCACUAACGAAGCUUGCCCUAGGUCCAAGUCGCCGAUGCCACAUGUUGAGAUCGAGGGGCCACCUUUAUUUAUGUAGAAAAGCGAAUAUAGAUCUUUCGAACAACUAGAUCUCCCGAUGAUUCCCUUGGUGGCUAGAUCAUUCACAAAACAAACAUAUGGAUCAAAUUCAAUAGAACAAGAAUUGCCCCGAGUAAAAUUGCAUAUGGGUAUGAAGUCAUUAACAAUCAAGAGUAAAACAUCAAACAUUGUUGAGAGAAAGGGGGAGUAUGACCGAGAUGAGUAUAACUAGUAGGAAUAAUGGUGAUCCAGGAACCAUCACUAACAACUAAACUACGACAAGCGUGCAUUGAAGAGAAAAGAUACUAGUUGAGAUUACCUCUGCAACCCGUCACAUGCGAUUAGCGGCAUAGUCCAUGUACUAGUCAUUGUCGGAGGAGGGGUGGAGCUUGUGUUGCCGGGCGCCCUGUCGAUCACGGAGAACUGGUCCCGCGAAAGAGGCGACGGCAUAAAGAUGGAUGCCAUGGAGUUGAGCAACGAGUAUCCCUGAGUUGGAGCAGAUGGGCGUGGGUUGAGGACGCCGCGGGCGUUUUGAGGGGCCCGCUGAGUGUGCGGCGGCUGCCUCAGCAACGGGAAGGGCGCCCCCCAUGGCGCAAAGUAGCCCAUCCAGGGUCGUUGUUGCGGUUGUGCCGACUGUCCAGGCCAGGUGUUAGAAAAAGCGUUGCGAUCGCCUUGAUUCCCAUUGUUGCUUCUACCGGGGGUGGAGUUGGAGCCGGUGUUGGUGCCAAUGGUGAUGGUGGAGGAUCCCUUGGCCCUGUCACAUGCAUUAAGAUUGAUUUCUUCCAGCAACAACAUGGAACGGGCCUGGAUAAAGGUAGGAAAAGGCCUGUGCAUGGGAAGAGUAGUUGCCAGCACAUGGAAGCGGUUGUUGAGUCCUCGGAUCAUUUGCAAUGUCCACAUAUCAUCGCUAACUGGUUCACUUGCGUCGAGGGCAUCGGCGAGGGCCUUAAUCCGAUUGCAGUAGGCGGCCACCGUCAUGUCUCCUUGCUCGGUGGCGCUUAACUCUUCGCGGAUGUGGAUGGCCCAUCCGGGCUGGUUGUCCCGGAAGAAGGUGUACAACUUGUCCCAAACGGUAUACGCGGUGUUCUCCGGCUCCCUCACCACUUGAUAGAGCUCGUCGCAAAUGGUAGCAUAGAACCACAACACAAUGGUCAGAUCGUCGUUGCGCCACUUGGCAUCUUGAAGACGGGGAUCAGACUCGUGGUCGACAUGGUGGGCGCAGUCGUAUUUGGCGAGGAUAGCGUAGAACUUCCGCGUCCACUCAGCGUAGUUGUUUGCGGCGAGAUCUAACUUGAAAUUGAUGAAGUGGGUAAUAUCGAUGCGGUGCAUAGGAGGCUCAGGACGGGUAGAGGGGAGGACAGGCUUGGCCUUCUUGGUGCUGCCGAGGGGAAAGAAAUGACGAAAGGAGGAGGACGUGGCCAGAAGGGUGGGGGCGCUGAAUGAAGGAGAGAUGUUGCUCAUGGUGAAGAGGAGAAGAUGGUUGUGAUACCAAGAACGAUUGUGACUUGUGAGUAUAAUCUCGAAGAUGUCUUGUGUUCACUCGCUGCCCUGUUUAUAUACACAUCACAAGGGGUAGAACCAUAGGAGAGAGAUUUAUUACAACAACAGUAAAAGUAUACCAGAAUUUGGCUGGUGGGGAGCUUGGGACAAAAUGAUGGACGAGACGCAUGGUAGUACUCCUACCCGUAGUACUGCGUAGUGGGUAGCGGAUCUGAUCGAUGCAGGAGGCGAAUUGUCACCGUGAUUCCACGAUUAGUGAGAUCACAUCACAGUCUGAUCGAUUGACGCGUACGAUGACACUGUGACAUGACGGGUAAUUCGAUCGGUGACGGUAAGUGAUGAGCUAGAGUGAGGUUUUCAUCUCCAGUUACGAUUAGCUUUUGCAAUGAUCAGAACGCCACGUCGGUGUGUGCGGGGCAGCCGUGCAUAGCUGGCCUUUUGCUACCGGCGUUGCCGUGUACACUUGUGACCGACCGGCUUCGGCUUUCGGCGGGCCAGUUUGUGCGUGCAUGCCGGCCGCGCCGCAUGCCUGUGCGGACGUGCACGCGAUGGCUAAACUUUUUGGUUUGGAGUGGUAGGUGGUGACCACGAGACAAAACUUGUUGGAACGAGGCACACGGAUGGCUAAUACAGUGUCGUGCAGUUCUUACUGUGGGAAACUUAUGCCGCACUGCACCACCACCCACCACCGAUAUUAGCCAUUCAUGCGACUGAUUCCAACGAGUUUUGUCCCGUGGCCACCAUUCACCAACCCAAACCAAAAGUUUCAGCCAUGGCGUGCACGUCCGCACAGGCAUGCGGCGCGGCAUGCAUGCAUGCACAAACUGUUCCGCCGAAAGACGAAGCCGGCCACGAGUGUACACGGCAAGGCACGCACCGGUAACGAAAGACGAGCCACGGACGGCUGGCGCGCACGCACCGACGUGGCGAUCUGAUCACUGCAAAGCUAAUCGUAACUGAAGAGGAAAGCCUCACUCUAUCUCAUCAGUUACCGUCCAAUCGACCACCAGAGACAAGUGAUGACCCGUAGGCACGCAUAUCCAGGCCAGGAUCAGAUAGCAAAGCCAAUUCAAAAGCGCGAGCCGAUGACGCAGCGGCUAGGGCCGGACAAGCGCGGCGGUUCAGGGUUCAGGGUUCAGACAAGGUUAGUAUAGCUGUUCGUGCAGUCGUGCACACCACCGCCCUCGAUCUGCAAACACAAAUUCAAAACACGGCGGUUCGGCGUGUGGAGUUACCUUCGCCGCUUCCGUGCUCAUGCAUGCAGGAGGACCUAUCUGUCGUCUAUCUGCAUGCUUCCAAACCAAAGCUUGAACUCCCUCGCUGAAAAGGCAAAAGAGCAAAAAGACAGGGCUUCAACUACCUGCGCGACAAAGUUGGUUGGCCUGGCCGGGGAGAUAGAUUUGUUCGGGCGCAGGAAGCUUCGGUGCACCUUCCCGCCGCCACCUGAGUGUCUCGCACGCGCCCUUUGCCUGGCUUGUGGUUAACGAGAACCGCAACCAAGAU